AUCCAGCUGAUGAGUCUCAAAUAAGACGAAACGUGCAUCCUGGAU
rnacentral:hammerhead_ribozyme from 1 species